UAGCCUAGAGGUUAAGGCUAUGGAUCGCCGAUCCGGAGACGGCGGGUUCGAUUCCCGU
rnacentral:tRNA from 1 species